rnacentral:rRNA from 1 species
CGGUAGGGCGGGACCGGGGUGGGAGUAAUGUCUGGGAAACGUACUCGAUGGAGGGGGAUAACUACUGGAAACGGUAGCUAAUACCGCAUAACGUCGCAAGACCAAAGAGGGGGACCUUCGGGCCUCUUGCCAUCGGAUGUGCCCAGAUGGGAUUAGCUAGUAGGUGGGGUAACGGCUCACCUAGGCGACGAUCCCUAGCUGGUCUGAGAGGAUGACCAGCCACACUGGAACUGAGACACGGUCCAG